AAGCAGAGCGUGGUUUCGAUCCACAGACCUUCCACACGAUCCACAGCUUAUGGGCCCAGCACGUUUCCACUGCGCCACUCUGCU